UACAGAGGGUGCGAGCGUUAAUCGGAAUUACUGGGCGUAAAGCGUGCGUAGACGGUCAUGUAAGUCGGAUGUGAAAGCCCCGGGCUCAACCUGGGAAUUGCAUUCGAGACUGCAUGGCUUGGGUGCGGAAGAGGGAAGCGGAAUUUCCGGUGUAGCGGUGAAUGCGUAGAUAUCGGAAGGAACACCAGUGGCGAAAGCGGCUUCCUGGUCCGACACCGACGUUCAGGCACGAAAGCGUGGGGAGCAAACAGG
rnacentral:rRNA from 1 species